AACGAACGCUGGCGGCGCGCCUAAUACAUGCAAGUCGAGCGAGAAGACGUAGCAAUACGUUUGUAAAGCGGCGAACGGGUGAGGAAUACAUGGGUAACCUACCCUCGAGUGGGAGUAACUAGCCGAAGGUUAGCUAAUACCGCGUACGCUCCUUGGACUUCGGUUCAGGGAGGAAAGACGAUACCGUGGGUAGUCGCGCUCUUGGAUGGGCGUCAUGUCCUAUCAGCUUGUUGGUGAGGAA
rnacentral:rRNA from 1 species